GUGAAAACUAUAUUCACAGGAGUCGCUGGCAGCAGUUGGUGAUGAGAUGGUGCUCAGAAAUGGCGUUGAUGUAACUUAGGAGACAGAAUCAUAAGCAAAACAGCACACUGUUUGAAUAAAGAGCCAAAUUGGCAGAGGGGGUCGAUUUAGGAGGAAAGGUGUGGCUACAAACUUUGUUACUGAAGAAGACAAGAGGAUUCUUUGUGACACGGAGUCUUUCUACAAUAGUACAGUGGCUGACCUUAUUUAAUUCCUGGGAUGAGAUAUAUUUGAAUUCAGUGCUGCUGUUGCUGAAUAGGCCAUUACAACGUGCAUUGUGCUUCUUUGGGAAUAUUUGAAUCUUGUCUCAAAAAUGCUCAUAACGGAUCAGAAAUAUAGAUUUUGAUAGCAAAGUGACAUUAGUUGUGAGCUCUUGUGAGGAAAGUCACUGGCUUUAUCCCCUUUAAGGUUAGACUGUUGGGGUGGGCAUAAGAGAUGAGGUCUGUAAAAUAUUUCUAGAUUUCUAGAAAUUUAUUUCCUAGUUCUGUAGAAAUGGUUGUAUAGAUGUUUGCUAUCAUUUAAUCAUAUACUUGUGGACUAAAACAUAUAAGUCCUGUAUAACAUCAGCCAAUUAUGUUAAACUAGCGUAUCUGCCUUUAUUGUGUUUAUCAUUAGCCUGAAUAGAAAGGCUUUAAAACAAAUUUUUUAAGAAA
rnacentral:lncRNA from 1 species